rnacentral:pre_miRNA from 1 species
UUACCCUGAAGAACCGGACAAGUGUAUUGCGUCAAUAAGCACGGGCCUUUCUUCAGAGUCAAC